rnacentral:rRNA from 1 species
GUGUCAGCAGCCGCGGUAAUACGGAGGGUGCAAGCGUUGUUCGGAAUUACUGGGCGUAAAGCGCGUGUAGGUGGUCGAGUAAGUCGAAUGUGAAAGCCCCGGGCUCAACCCGGGAAGUGCAUCCGAAACUGCUCGACUAGAGUCCCGGAGAGGAAGGCAGAAUUCCCAAUGUAGGGGUGAAAUCCGUAGAUAUUGGGAGGAAUACCGGUGGCGAAGGCGGCCUUCUGGACGGUGACUGACACUCAGACGCGAAAGCGUGGGGAGCAAACAGGAUUAGAUACCCUGGUAGUCCACGCUGUAAACGUUGCGAACUAGGUGUCGGGGGUAUUCACCCCUCCGGUGCCGAAGCUAACGUCUUAAGUUCGCCGCCUGGGAAGUACGGCCGCAAGGCUAAA